UAUUAUUUUAUGUGUAAAAGUUUAAAAGCUUGAGUAGUAAUAGUUUAGUUCUUGAAACUCAAAGAAUUUGGCGGUUUUUUAGUCUUUUUAGAGGAAUCUGUCCUGUAAUCGAUAAUACACGAUUUGUUAUACUUAAUUUGGUUAUCAAUUUGUAUAUCGCCGUUAUAAGAAUAUCUUUUUAUUUUGGAGGGUUGUAAUUUUCUUUAUUCUAUAUUAAGAAUUAUAUCAGGUCAAGGUGCAGUUUAUGAUUAAGUAGAGAUGGAUUACAAUAAUGAUAAUUAUAUGGAUUAAUAUUUUUAAUUGUAUUAUGAAGGUGGAUUUAAUUGUAAGUUUAUUUAGAAUAUUAGGCUGAUUAUGGCUCUAAAAUAUGCACACAUCGCCCGUCGCUCUCGUUUUUAAAAUGAG
rnacentral:rRNA from 1 species